rnacentral:siRNA from 1 species
CUUUUUGUUGUUCAUUAGCUCUAC